rnacentral:rRNA from 1 species
AAGCAGGUCAUAGUGAUCCGGUGGUUCUGAAUGGAAGGGCCAUCGCUCAACGGAUAAAAGGUACUCCGGGGAUAACAGGCUGAUACCGCCCAAGAGUUCAUAUCGACGGCGGUGUUUGGCACCUCGAUGUCGGCUCAUCACAUCCUGGGGCUGAAGUAGGUCCCAAGGGUAUGGCUGUUCGCCAUUUAAAGUGGUACGCGAGCUGGGUUUAGAACGUCGUGAGACAGUUCGGUCCCUAUCUGCCGUGGGCGCUGGAGAACUGAGGGGGGCUGCUCCUAGUACGAGAGGACCGGAGUGGACGCAUCACUGGUGUUCGGGUUGUCAUGCCAAUGGCACUGCCCGGUAGCUAAAUGCGGAAGAGAUAAGUGCUGAAAGCAUCUAAGCACGAAACUUGCCCCGAGAUGAGUUCUCCCUGACCCUUUAAGGGUCCUGAAGGAACGUUGAAGACGACGACGUUGAUAGGCCGGGUGUGUAAGCGCAGCGAUGCGUUGAGCUAACCGGUACUAAUGAACCGUGAGGCUUAACCUUACAACGCCGAAGCUGUU